GGCCGAAGCAGAAGAACGCGAAGGAGAAAGAAGAGAAAGAAGAAAAGAAGAAAGAAAAGAUUUAGCCGUUCGAUUUCGAUUCCGAUUUCGGUGUACGUUGGAGGAGAUUUGGGUGAAGUUAUAAAAUCCAGAAAGUAUCGGUAGGAGGUACGCAUGGCACCUCCGGGACAGGGGACGUCUCGGGAGAUAGAAAGACGGGCUGAAUGAGUGAACUGCAUCUGAUGUAUUAUAUGUAAAUUCUAACUAGAAAAACCUCCCGUUUUGGGAGUAUGUUUUUGUAAAUAUUUAUAAACUUGUUUUUUUGGGAAUAAUAAAAUGCUUAUAUAAUUAAUUUUAGCCUUAACACUGUGUUGUGGGGCCCGAAGUAGGAGGUGACGACCUCAUGAUGCAGUGUGGCGGUAGCAUUUCCAGUACGAGCCAACUGGGGGUGUUACAAGUUGGUAUCAGAGCCUAGGUUUGAUAGAUUUUGGCUCUUUGAAUUAAAAAGGUUUUGAAAAUAAUAAUGAUAUUGAAUUGGUUUGGUGAGGUUUGGGUUUUGCGGGUGCAUUCAUGUUAAUGUGAUCUAUCUUUUAUUGUUAUGCUUGGUUUAGCUGUGUGCUGAAUUGAUAUUGAAUCAGGAAAAAUUGGGGGCAGUAUCUCGAAUUCUCGAGGUGGUGGUGUACGUAGGGCUAUUCAAGGCCCAGAGUUUGAUCCUUCGUCUGAUGAGUCACAGUAUCCUGUGCCAGCGCAUGUACCAACAGAGGCACCUAGUCAGGAUUUCUUUCGGCAGUUUAUGGCCGCGAUGAUGCCUCAACAGAGGAGUUUCAUUGAUGCUGUGAUGCGGCAUAACCCACCAACAUAUUCUGGUUCAGUGGAGCCAGGAGUCCUUGAGUUUUGGGUUGAAAAGAUGGAAAAGAUAUUUCGUGUUGUUCAGGUUCCGCCAGAUCAACGAGUUAAUAUUGGAGCCUAUUUCUUGGAAGGCCGAGCAAAUCGGUGGUGGUUAGGUGAAGAAGCUGCAGGUGUAGACCAAGUGGAUAUGACUUGGGAUGAAUUUAAAG